GACGAACGCUGGCGGCGUGCUUAACACAUGCAAGUCGAGCGGAGCGGCGAACGGGUGAGUAACGCGUGAGUAACUGCCCCCCUCUCUGGGAAAACAGUUGGAAACGGCUGCUAAUACCGGAUAGUGGGGGAUGACUCGGGUCCUAUCAGCUUGUUGGUGGGGUAGUGGCCUACCAAGGCGACGAUCCCUAGCUGGUCUGGGAGGAUGACCAGCCACACUGGACUAGGAGACGGUCCAGACGCCUACGGGAGGCAGCAGUGGGGAAUAUGGCACAAUGGGCGCAAGCCUGAGGCAGCCGUGCCGGGUGUAUGAAGAAGGCCUUCGGGUUGUAAACCGCUUUCAGCCAUGACGCGGUAGUGGCAGAAGAAGCACCGGCUAACUACGUGCCAGCAGCCGCGGUAAUUC
rnacentral:rRNA from 1 species